rnacentral:rRNA from 1 species
CGAGGAGGUAGGGCUUACGCUCGCGUUUGUCUGUUAUAUCUUGGUGGACGAGUUGUCGCGGUUGGGACUGAGGUGCCUACAACGUGCUUUUGAGUGAGUUUGUGUCUCCGUGUGCGCCGUGUGUGGAUAGCUUGCUAUGUAUGUGCGGUUGUGUGUGGAUUGAUGCGGGCCUUAACUUGUCGCCGUUCGGGACGUUGACGAAAUGGAGCGAUCCGACCCGUCUUGAAACACGGACCAAGGAGUCUAACAUGUGUGCAAGUGUUAGGGUGUGGAAACCCCAGCGCGAAAUGAAAGUGAAGGGCAGCGCAAGUUGUCUGAGGUAGGAAACGUUGCGGGCCUCGGUCUGCGGCGUGGCACUAUCGACCGAUCAUGAACCUUCGUGGUGAAAGAUUUGAGUUUGAGCACAUAUGUUGGUACCCGAAAGAUGGUGAACUAUGCCUGAGUAGGGUGAAGCCAGGGGAAACUCUGGUGGAAGCUCGUAGCGAUUCUGACGUGCAAAUCGAUCGUCAAACUUGGGUAUAGGGGCGAAAGACUAAUCGAACCAUCUAGUAGCUGGUUCCCUCCGAAAUUUCCCUCAGGAUAGCAGCAACUUAUUUACGAUAGUUUUAUGAGGUAAAGCGAAUGAUUAGAGGAUUCGGGGAAGAAACUUCCUCGACCUAUUCUCAAACUUUAAAUCUGUAAGACCUGCAGGUUUCUUAAU